rfam:Fukomys damarensis contig143880, whole genome shotgun sequence.
GGGUGUGAGGGUGAUCUGGCUGUGACGUCUGCCACCCCAGUGAUAGCCAGGGUUGAUUUGGCUGAUCUGGCUGGCUAGGCUGUGUCCCCUUCCUCCCUCACCUCUCCAUGUGCAUCACUCCAGAAGCUGCCCACUCUGUCAAAGAGGAUGGCCACCCCCAAUAAAGGAGGAUCGAUUCCCUAGUCAAAGGUAUGUGAGUAGCUGCACUCUGCUAGAAUCUCCAAACAAGCUCUCAAGAUAUUUCCCAGAUAAUGAUUCCUGAAAGAAUUGUUUCCUAAAGUCUUUGACAUCUGAGCAACAUUGCAGGUCUAGUCUAUGAACUC